rnacentral:rRNA from 1 species
UACGGAGGGGGCGAGCGUUAUUCGGAAUUACUGGGCGUAAAGUGUGCGCAGGCGGCAGAGCAAGUCGAGUGUGAAAGCCCCGGGCUUAACUUGAGAAUUGCGCUCGAAACUACUUUGCUGGAGUGUGGCAGAGGAAGGUGGAAUUCCACGUGUAGCGGUGAAAUGCGUAGAGAUGUGGAGGAACACCAAUGGCGAAGGCAGCCUUCUGGGCCAACACUGACGCUCAUGCACGAAAGCGUGGGGAGCAAACAGG